CAUAUCUUGUUUUUUCUCCAGUCCAUUUAAUAGAGGCAUCAUCAUCAUCCUCCUCAACUAGGGGUGUAAGUGGCUCCUGGUUUCAGCUUUACAAAGCCCCCAGGACAUCAUGAGCAUCUUCAGGCCCAACGGGAAAGGCAGGCACUCCUAAACUUGGCUUCAGGACAGCUCUGCUCACCUCUAGGCCUGAGCGCACACUUGAGAGAGGAGAGGAGACUGAGCACAGGAGACAGCCCUCGAAGGAAGAGAGGGACCCCAGCUCCUAUGUGCUUAGGAGGCCCUUCAGUGACCCCCGGAUCUUCCUCUCCAGACCCCUGUUGGAUGGAGUGGACAGGACCCGUGACAGAGUUUGGCUGCAGAAGGAGCCACCUUGGAUGGAAGAGGCUCCAAGUACAUCAAGAGGACUGAAGACACCUUAGCUUGGCCGCAGUGACGUUCUGUUAUUUCUGUAAGAUGAACACAACUUCCACGAGAACCACGACCCGAGUUUGCCUGAGUGUAACUGCCUGCGUUGAUGCUCCGUAUUGAGAGGGCUCACAGUUCCAGGGUCUCUGGAUGAGUUUCGCGGGUCCCCCCUGCUCCCCUGGGGUCUCUCGUGGGGAAAUGGCUUUAAAUGUUAGUAGUCUGUCAUUCUGGGGACCAAUUAUUGUUGAAGCUUGUGACUAGACAACUCCCCCAAAAUAUCCCAGACAUUUACUGAAGGGAAUGUAAGUCCCAGGCAGGGAUCCUUUGUAGAGAUCACCAAACUGUAGCUCCUCAAUUUCAGGAAAAAAG